AGCGAACGCUGGCGGCAGGCCUAACACAUGCAAGUCGAACGAACCUUUCGGGGUUAGUGGCGGACGGGUGAGUAACACGUGGGAACGUGCCUUUAGGUUCGGAAUAACUCAGGGAAACUUGUGCUAAUACCGAAUGUGCCCUUCGGGGGAAAGAUUAAUCGCCUUUGGAGCGGCCGGCGUCUGAUUAGCUAGUUGGUUGAGGUAAUGGCUCGCCACGGGGACGUUCAGUAGCUGGUCUGCGAGGAUGUUUAGGCAAAUUGGGAAUGAGACACGGCCCAAACCCCUACGGGAGGGAGCAGUAGGGAAUCUUGCGCAAGGGGCGAAAGCCUGACGCAGCCAUGCCGCGGGAAUGAUGAAGGUCGUAGGAUUGUAAAAUUCUUUCACCGGGAGCGAUAAUGACGGUACCCGGAGAAGAAGCCCCGGCUAACUUCGUG
rnacentral:rRNA from 1 species